AGAAAAGAUCUCCAUCCCAGAAGAUCAGAACUUGAAGACUUUAAAAACAAAUCUGUAGAACGAAGGAAAGAUCUCAAGUUUGUGAAGAAGAUCGAAAGUUGAAGACUUGAAAAAGAACAAAUCUGCAGAAAAAAAAAAAAAAAAAAGAUCUCCAGGGCUAGUACAAAAAAAAAAUGACACUUUCUUCUUCCUCCUUUUUUUCCUAAUUUGAUUUAUGUGUUCUAGUGGCUUCUCUUUGGCUUUUUUUAGUUCCAUUUAUUUUUUAGUUUCAUUCAUACGAUUUUUUUACAAGUUAUGUAUAUGAAUAUAUGAUAGAUGGUGAUAUUAUUUCUCAAGGAAUUGAUGGUUUCAAUUCUAGUACACCAAUUCAACGGGUGGAACACGGGUGGAACCUGAUAAUUCUUCACCAGUUGAAUUUUCAACUGACCCUUCUGUUCAACAUGUUGAGCUUGAAACUCCAAUUACUUGCAAUAUGCUUGAAGAUGAAGCAAAAGUUGGUGAUAAACGGUUAAGAUCAAUUGUUUGGCAACACUUUAAAAAGAUUAAUGUUGAGGGAGUUAAUAAAGCAGAAUGCAACUACUGCAAGAAACUUCUUGGAGCACAAAGAAAAAAUGGAACAAAGAA